CUUCAGGGCGGGGCGAAAUUCCCCACCGGCGGUAUAGCCCGCGAGCCGAAAGGCUGAUUCGGUUAAAUUCCGAAGCCGACAGUAUAGUCUGGAUGAAAGAAGU
rnacentral:ncRNA from 1 species